rnacentral:rRNA from 1 species
GUCCAACCUGCCCAGUGAACUCGUUUUCAACGGCCGCGGUAUCCUAACCGUGCAAAGGUAGCAUAAUCACUUGUCCCUUAAAUAGGGACUUGUAUGAACGGUUAAAUGAGGGCUUAACUGUCUCCUGUAGCCAAUCAAUGAAAUUGAUCUCACAGUACAAAUGCUGUGAUACAACUAUAAGACGAGAAGACCCUGUGGAGCUUUAACCCUAUCACAUUAACUAAUUAACCUCAACUACUAUUAGUAUAACGUGAAGUUUAAGUUGGGGCGACUAUGGAGUAAAAAUUAACCUCCAUAUAAUACGAUUAAACCUCGUUACAUACGGCUAACAAGCCUAGUCAAAACACACGACCCAGUCAAACUGAUUAUCGAACCAAGUUACCCCAGGGAUAACAGCGCCAUCCCCUUAAAGAGUUCACAUCGCCAGGGGGGUUUACGACCUCGAUGUUGGAUCAGGACACCCAAGUGGUGCAGCAGCUACUAAAGGUUCGUUUGUUCAACGAA